rnacentral:rRNA from 1 species
UACAGAGGGUGCAAGCGUUGUUCGGAAUUAUUGGGCGUAAAGGGCGCGUAGGCGGUGCGGUAAGUCACCUGUGAAAACUCUGGGCUCAACUCAGAGCCUGCAGGCGAAACUGCCGUGCUUGAGUGUGGGAGAGGUGCGUGGAAUUCCCAGUGUAGAGGUGAAAUGCGUAGAUAUCGGGAGGAACACCUGUGGCGAAAGCGGCGCACUGGACCACAACUGACGCUGAGGCGCGAAAGCUAGGGGAGCAAACAGG